GAUGAACACUGGCGGCGUGCCUAAUACAUGCAAGUCGAGCGAACGGACGAGAAGCUUGCUUCUCUGAUGUUAGCGGCGGACGGGUGAGUAACACGUGGAUAACCUACCUAUAAGACUGGGAUAACUUCGGGAAACCGGAGCUAAUACCGGAUAAUAUUUUGAACCGCAUGGUUCAAAAGUGAAAGACGGUCUUGCUGUCACUUAUAGAUGGAUCCGCGCUGCAUUAGCUAGUUGGUAAGGUAACGGCUUACCAAGGCAACGAUGCAUAGCCGACCUGAGAGGGUGAUCGGCCACACUGGAACUGAGACACGGUCCAGACUCCUACGGGAGGCAGCAGUAGGGAAUCUUCCGCAAAGGGCGAAAGCCUGACGGAGCAACGCCGCGUGAGUGAUGAAGGUCUUCGGAUCGUAAAGCUCUGUUAUUAGGGAAGAACAUAUGUGUAAGUAACUGUGCACAUCUUGACGGUACCUAAUCAGAAAGCCACGGCUAACUACGUG
rnacentral:rRNA from 1 species